GACCAUCAGGUGGUCUGGCGUGCAAGGGU
rnacentral:sRNA from 1 species